rnacentral:rRNA from 1 species
ACAAGUCGCACACCAGCAAUUUUGAAAUGUAAAUAAUGUAAAAAGUGUGUUCAUAUUUAAAAAAAA